AUCAUACUCCCUCCGUUCCAUAAUUCUUGUCGAAAUAUUACAUGUAUCUAGACACUUUUUAUGGAUAGAUACAUCCAUUUUUGGACAAAUUUGAGACGAGAAUUAUGAAACAGAGGGAGUAUAUG
rfam:Brachypodium distachyon strain Bd21 chromosome 2, whole genome shotgun sequence.